AUACGUAGGGUGCAAGCGUUAAUCGGAAUUACUGGGCGUAAAGCGUGCGCAGGCGGUUUUGUAAGACAGAGGUGAAAUCCCCGGGCUCCACCUGGGAACUGCCUUUGUGACUGCAAGGCUAGAGGACGGCAGAGGGGGAUGGAAUUCCGCGUGUAGCAGGGAAAAGCGUAGAUAUGCGGAGGAACACCGAUGGCGAAGGCAAUCCCCUGGGCCUGUACUGACGCUCAUGCACGAAAGCGUGGGGAGCAAACAGGAUUAGAUACCCUGGUAGUCCACGCCCUAAACGAUGUCAACUGGUUGUUGGGUCUUCAUUGACUCAGUAACGAAGCUAACGCGUGAAGUUGACCGCCUGGGGAGUACGGCCGCAAGGUUGAAACUCAAAUGAAUUGACGGGG
rnacentral:rRNA from 1 species